rnacentral:rRNA from 1 species
CCGGCGCAGGUGAGUAACACGUAUCCAACCUGCCGUCUACUCUUGGCCAGCCUUCUGAAAGGAAGAUUAAUCCAGGAUGGGAUCAUGAGUUCACAUGUCCGCAUGAUUAAAGGUAUUUUCCGGUAGACGAUGGGGAUGCGUUCCAUUAGAUAGUAGGCGGGGUAACGGCCCACCUAGUCAACGAUGGAUAGGGGUUCUGAGAGGAAGGUCCCCCACAUUGGAACUGAGACACGGUCCAA